UUGAGCCCUAACCCUCACCCCCUCCUUCCCGAUUCCUCUCCCUUGAGCCCUAACCCCCAUCCCUUCCUUCCCUCUCCCUCAGGAACCUAUCAAUUCCUCUCCAUCAAGACCUAGCCCCCCCACCCCUUCCUUCCCUCCCAUCGAACUAGAGCCCUUGAUACGAAAUACCAAUUGUUUCUCGUUGUUGGUAGUUGCAAUACUUGAGCUUUACUUGGGCUCCUAGUGAUCCAGAAUUGACAGAAUAUGAAAUACAAUGACAGUAGUGCUAGUGAGAGUAGUGCCAGUUUCGAGAGUCCAUUUUGCUACUGUGAGAUUCCAUCCAAGCUUAGGAUUUCAGGCAAGGCUACUAGUUUUGGCAAACGGUUUUACAACUAUCCAAAUUAUAAAAUCAACAAGCAAUGUAGAUUUUUUCAAUGGAUCGAUCUUGAAAUGGAACUAAACACAUGUUGCAAGAUGACGUUGGAGCUAGCUCAAAGAAGGAACAGCAUAAUAAUGAAAGAACGUGUAAUGACUGAAGAAGCCAAAUUUACUGCUAUGAAGAAGAAGUAUAAAGGAACCUUAAAAGCUUUAUAUUUGUCAUGGUCUUGUUUUGUUCUGAUUUUGGCUGUAAUCAUUUUGUAUCUCAUCAACAAUUAUGUACAUCGGCCUCUUGUUUCAACCAAUGGGCACGCUGGCUGUUUGUGAAUUUGACAUUGUAAUGUUGUACUUAUUUUGGAAAUGUAAUGAUACUUAGCUUGUAAUGUUGAACUUAUUUUGAAAAUGUAAUGAUACUUAGCUUGUAAUGUUGAACUUAUUUUGGAAA